UGAAGAAUUUGUCCAACGGCGGGGGAUAGCCGGCCCAACGGCCGGGUAAUACCGCGUACGACCCUCGGGGGGCAUCCCCUGAAGGUGAAAGCCGCAAGGCGCCGAUGGAGAACUUCGCGGCCUAUCAGCUAGUUGGUGAGGUCAUGGCUCACCAAGGCGACGACGGGUAGCUGGUCCGAGAGGAUGACCAGCCACAUUGGGACUGAGACACGGCCCAGACUCCGUACGGGAGGCAG
rnacentral:rRNA from 1 species